UACGUAGGGUGGGAGCGUUGUCCGGAAUUAUUGGGCGUAAAGAGCUCGUAGGCGGUGUGUCGCGUCGGUCGUGAAAACUUGGGGCUUAACUCUGAGCUUGCGGUCGAUACGGGCAUCACUGGAGUUCGGCAGGGGAGACUGGAAUUCCUGGUGUAGCGGUGAAAUGCGCAGAUAUCAGGAGGAACACCGGUGGCGAAGGCGGGUCUCUGGGCCGAUACUGACGCUGAGGAGCGAAAGCGUGGGGAGCGAACAGG
rnacentral:rRNA from 1 species